CCUGAUCAAAUCGCGGGGCGGAUUGGUUGGUGGGAAUGGGAUUCUACAGAGGCGGGUGCAGGCUCAGGACUGGAGUGCGGGAGGGGAGGAGGAGGGGGAAGGUUCGCGUGCGAUGCGAUGCGAUGUGCCGCGCUCGUGCUCUCGCUAAUGGCGUCGAUUAGUCGCGGGUGGGUUUUGCUUUUACGGGGUUUUGGCCAUUUGCGGUGUGGAAAAUAUAUGCCCGGAACCGAGGCGAAAAGGACGGGCG
rnacentral:lncRNA from 1 species